rnacentral:rRNA from 1 species
UACGUAGGCAGCGAGCGUUGUUCGGAGUUACUGGGCGUAAAGGGUGUGUAGGCGGUUCUUUAAGUUUGGUGUGAAAUCUCCCGGCUCAACCGGGAGGGUGCGCCGAAUACUGAGGGACUUGGAGUGCGGGAGAGGAAAGUGGAAUUCCUGGUGUAGCGGUGAAAUGCGUAGAUAUCAGGAGGAACACCGGUGGUGUAGACGGCUUUCUGGACCGUAACUGACGCUGAGACACGAAAGACGUGGGUAGCAAACAGG